UACGAAGGGGGCUAGCGUUGUUCGGAAUUACUGGGCGUAAAGCGCGUGUAGGCGGUUGCCCAAGUCGGGUGUGAAAGCCUUGAGCUCAACUCAAGAAAUGCACUCGGUACUGGGUGACUAGAGGACCGGAGAGGAUAGUGGAAUUCCCAGUGUAGUGGUGAAAUACGUAGAGAUUGGGAAGAACACCAGUGGCGAAGGCGGCUAUCUGGACGGUUUCUGACGCUAAGACGCGAAAGCGUGGGGAGCAAACAGG
rnacentral:rRNA from 1 species